ACUCCUACGGGAGGCAGCAGUGGGGAAUAUUGCACAAUGGGGAAACCCUGAUGCAGCCAUGCCGCGUGUGUGAAGAAGGCCUCGGUUGUAAGCACUUCAGUAGGAGGAAGGUAGUGUAGUUAACACCUGCACUAUUUGUACGUUACCUUACCAGAAGAAGCACCGGCUAACUCCGUGUCAGCAGCCGCGGUAAUACGGAGGGUGCGAGCGUUAAUCGGAAUUACUGGGCGUAAAGCGCAUGCAGGUGGUUUGUUAAGUUCAGAUGUGAAAGCCCGGGGGCGUCAACCUCGGAACUGCAUUUGAAACUAGGCAGACUAGAGUACUGUAGAGGGGGUAGGAAUUUCAGGUGUAGCGGUGAAAUGCGUAGAGAUCUGAAGGAAUACCGGUGGCGAAGGCGGCCCCCUGGACAGAUACUGACACUCAGAUGCGAAAGCGUGGGGA
rnacentral:rRNA from 1 species